GACGUAGGGUCCAAGCGUUGUCCGGAUUUACUGGGCGUAAAGAGCGCGUAGGCGGUCUGUUAAGUGCACGAGUGAAAGCCCGGGGCUUAACUCCGGGUCUGCAUUCGAUACGGGCAGGCUAGAGUGUGGUAGGGGAGAUCGGAAUUCCUGGUGUAGCGGUGAAAUGCGCAGAUAUCAGGAGGAACACCGGUGGCGAAGGCGGAUCUCUGGGCCAUUACUGACGCUGAGGAGCGAAAGCGUGGGGAGCGAACAGG
rnacentral:rRNA from 1 species